rnacentral:rRNA from 1 species
CAGUAGCCGCGGGAACACGUAGGGUGCGAGCGUUAAUCGGAAUUACUGGGCGUAAAGCGUGCGCAGGCGGUUCGUUAAGACAGAUGUGAAAUCCCCGGGCUUAACCUGGGAACUGCAUUUGUGACUGUAUGGCUAGAGUGUGUCAGAGGGGGGUAGAAUUCCACGUGUAGCAGUGAAAUGCGUAGAUAUGUGGAGGAAUACCGAUGGCGAAGGCAGCCCCCUGGGAUAACACUGACGCUCAUGCACGAAAGCGUGGGGAGCAAACAGGAUUAGAUACCCCCGUAGUCCCUGUCUCUUAUAA